rnacentral:rRNA from 1 species
ACGCUGGCGGCAGGCCUAACACAUGCAAGUCGAGCGGUAGAGAGAAGCUUGCUUCUCUUGAGAGCGGCGGACGGGUGAGUAAUGCCUAGGAAUCUGCCUGGUAGUGGGGGAUAACGUUCGGAAACGGACGCUAAUACCGCAUACGUCCUACGGGAGAAAGCAGGGGACCUUCGGGCCUUGCGCUAUCAGAUGAGCCUAGGUCGGAUUAGCUAGUUGGUGAGGUAAUGGCUCACCAAGGCGACGAUCCGUAACUGGUCUGAGAGGAUGAUCAGUCACACUGGAACUGAGACACGGUCCAGACUCCUACGGGAGGCAGCAGUGGGGAAUAUUGGACAAUGGGCGAAAGCCUGAUCCAGCCAUGCCGCGUGUGUGAAGAAGGUCUUCGGAUUGUAAAGCACUUUAAGUUGGGAGGAAGGGUUGUAGAUUAAUACUCUGCAAUUUUGACGUUACCGACAGAAUAAGCACCGGCUAACUCUGUGCCAGCAGCCGCGGCAAUACAGAGGGUGCAAGCGUUAAUCGGAAUUACUGGGCGUAAAGCGCGCGUAGGUGGUUUGUUAAGUUGGAUGUGAAAUCCCCGGGCUCAACCUGGGAACUGCAUUCAAAACUGACUGACUAGAGUAUGGUAGAGGGUGGUGGAAUUUCCUGUGUAGCGGUGAAAUGCGUAGAUAUAGGAAGGAACACCAGUGGCGAAGGCGACCACCUGGACUAAUACUGACACUGAGGUGCGAAAGCGUGGGGAGCAAAC